GAACCAAACCCAGGGUCCUGCUCCCGAAGGCUUUGUCGGCUGCAGACUUAACCCCGCUAUGACAGGUGGGGAAACUGAGGCAAGGGACCCUGCUCGUGCCUGGUUGGAGGCUCAGCCUCCAGGAGAGGAAUCCAGGCUCCCCAUCCAGCAAACCAGGGCAGGAGGUGGAGGAAACCUGCUGAGAGCAACCACUUCUGAGCCCCAGUGCUGACAUCCCUUUCAGGCAAAGAUUUCCACGUGAGCAAGCCGCAGGUACCUCAGCACAGGCUCUGAACCGUGCACGAAGCCUCUGGGAAACACGCCACGUGCACGAGCAACGUCCCCACGGCUCCUUCCCGGGGCUGCUGCAGCGCGUCGGGGCGCUUGUGCCGGGACAAGGACGCCCGGCUCAUCUCUGCAGGGCGUGAGGUGGACGUGGCAGGCGACAGGCCUGUCAAAGCACUUGGGAUUAGAGGCUGUCACAGCCGGCACAGCCAGGUCUUUAUUCCAGGCAGCCGCUCGCAGCGCCGGGGAGCCGGUGCUGGCACACUGCUGGGCUGUCCCUGCUCACAGCCCGGCUCCCCGCGGGAGGGCAGGGCCCUUCCUUGAUCUCAGCCCCCUCACCCGUCAGAAACCAAGCUUUAUCAGCUCACAUCUCACUGGGUGACUUGUUUCCUUUUCCUCUUGCCACCAGCAAGUCCGAUAAUCCUCCGGCAUCUGAAGCACGGUGUGAUUUCCCAGGCAGUGUUUGGGCUGGUUCGUAAGGUCCUGGUGGAGCCCGGAGGAACAGGCUGGUGUGAGACCCACCAAGAGCUCUGAAAGCCCAGAGACCAUCCUCAGCCACUUGCCGAGACUGUAGGAGGUGAUCCACCUCCAGCUGCUCCACAGAAGAAAAGUCUCUUUUUAAAAGUAAUCUGACUUUGCCCAUCCCAGCUUUUCGGAGCUAUUGUGGCACCUCAGCCAGAUUUCUGCAGAGAUUUGUCAUCAGGAGCUGGGUUCCCUUGGCUGGAUUCUUCUCGCAAUUCGUCAUCGCGAGUAUCAUUUACCCUCUGAACUCACGUUUUGCUUUUAAUCAGUCUUUACCAUUCAGGCAUGCUGCAAACGGCUCCCUCGACGGCCAAGCAUUAUCCUUCUUAAUGAGCAGGACUUGGGGGGCACGGGGGGAGCAGAGCAGCCCAUUUCUCUUCAUCACCACCAACAGAUCAGAGCAAAUCAGUUUUGCAACAACUUUAAUAAAUUGAUUCAAUUUGGCAAACCAAGAAAAAAAAAAAAGAGAGGGAGAUUAAAAAGUAAAGGAGGAAAUAAUGUGAGAUGCUUCCAGCAAUUGUGGUGGAUGGUAAAUCUCUUCUUUAUUGCUCCUUUAUUAUUUCCAGAAUCUGAAGUUUAAAUAAUUAAGCAGAAUAAAUGGUGGAUGAAUAUUAUUUUCAAGUUUUAUUUAUUGAUUCUCAGAGGACAGAUGUGCACAGAGACCCAGGCAUAGAGGAAGCUAAUUUCUCCAGUGGUGUAAAUCAGCACAGCAUCAUUAACACGAAUGUCAUUUAAAGGAGAUUUACACAAGCUGAGAAUCCAGCCUCCUCAUUUUGGGAGGAAAAUAUGGAAAACUACGUAGGUUUUAAUAUUUUUUGUUCUGUCUUCUGUGCAAUUCAUUUAUUUUCCAAUUUAAAAGCACAUCAGGUAUAUUUUUUUGUGUAAUUUAAAUACAUUUCUUGACAGAGCUGCUCACUCUGAAAGUCUUGGGAGCUUGAAAUUGGCCAACUCUGCAUGCCUGCAGGUUUGCUCUCGUGGCAUCUCUGAGGCCGGGUGACCGCUGCUCCCGUGGGCAGCUCCUGUCUUCGCAGGAAAGCUCCAGCACUGGGAUAUUUUUUGGCAUGCAGAGGAGAACGAGGUGGCGGCGGUGGCUCCUGCAGCAAAAGCAAGACAGGCCUCAGAGAAGCAGAGGAAUGCCACCUGGUGUUAACAGCGGGGCCAAUUAAGGAGACCAGGAAUUAAGGAAAUCCAACACCGGUAAGGAGAUUAACCCAAAGGAAAUGCAACGCUAUAUGAAAUUUCAGCUACAUGGGGAGUGACGUGUGGGUGAAACUGCCCUGUGAGCAGAUAAAGAGGUGGGUCCCUUGGUUACCUGACCUUGUCUGCCCGUUAAUACCAAUUAGGGCACGUCAUCCGUGCUGCUCUACCCGAUGAUUAUGUGCACUGGGGUUGGAGGUACUGGCAUUUCUCAGGAGCCCCUAAUUCAGCUGCACUGGCUGCCUCUGGGCUAAUUUAAAUCGUGCAAAGACAUCUCAAAAAGGUGUCGUGAGAAGGAAUUUCUGGUACUUGUGAGAGUCCUAAAAUGCAAAUGUGGGUAACACGGGGGUGGGUGAGUGACUCCAACUUUUAUGGCUUUGUUCAGCACUGAUGAGCUUGGAUGUGGCUGCAGGAAAUUGUUUCGUUCCAGCAAGAAGGGAAGAGUCUCAGGCACUGGGAGCUUGGCUUGGGUCCCUUCUUAUCAAUUACCAGGCUGGAAAUGAAAAGCCUGGCUGUGAUUUGUAGUGAUUGCAAGACAUCAGAAAAGCUGUUGACAUC